rnacentral:rRNA from 1 species
GAUGAACGCUGGCGGCGUGCCUAAUACAUGCAAGUCGAGCGAACGGACGAGAAGCUUGCUUCUCUGAUGUUAGCGGCGGACGGGUGAGUAACACGUGGAUAAUCUACCUAUAAGACUGGGAUAACUUCGGGAAACCGGAGCUAAUACCGGAUGAUAUUUUGCACCGCAUGGUUCAAAAGUGAAAGACGGUCUUGCUGUCACUUAUAGAUGGAUCCGCGCUGCAUUAGCUAGUUGGUAAGGUAACGGCUUACCAAGGCAACGAUGCAUAGCCGACGUGUGUGGGUGAUCGCCCACCCGGGAGCUGGGACACGGUCCAGACUCCUACGGGAGGCAGCAGUAGGGAAUCUUCCGCAGUGGGCGAAAGCCUGACGCAGCAACGCCGCGUGAGUGAUGAAAGCCUUCGGAUCGUAAAACUCUGUUAUUAGGGAAGAACAUAUGUGUAAGUAACUGUGCACAUCUUGACGGUACCUAAUAAGAAAGCCACGGCUAACUACGUG